rnacentral:rRNA from 1 species
ACCAUGCACCGAAGCUGCGGCAGCGACACUCAGGUGUUGUUGGGUAGGGGAGCGUUCUGUAAGCCUGCGAAGGUGGCCUGUGAGGGUUGCUGGAGGUAUCAGAAGUGCGAAUGCUGACAUAAGUAACGAUAAAGCGGGUGAAAAGCCCGCUCGCCGGAAGACCAAGGGUUCCUGUCCAACGUUAAUCGGGGCAGGGUGAGUCGACCCCUAAGGCGAGGCCGAAAGGCGUAGUCGAUGGGAAACGGGUUAAUAUUCCCGUACUUGGUGUUACUGCGAAGGGGGGACGGAGAAGGCUAUGUUGGCCGGGCGACGGUUGUCCCGGUUUAAGCGUGUAGGUGUGUGUUCCAGGUAAAUCCGGUUCACUUUAACACUGAGGCGUGAUGACGAGGCACUACGGUGCUGAAGCAACAAAUGCCCUGCUUCCAGGAAAAGCCUCUAAGCAUCAGGUAACAUCAAAUCGUACCCCAAACCGACACAGGUGGUCAGGUAGAGAAUACCAAGGCGCUUGAGAGAACUCGGGUGAAGGAACUAGGCAAAAUGGUGCCGUAACUUCGGGAGAAGGCACGCUGACACGUAGGUGAAGUGAUUUACUCAUGGAGCUGAAGUCAGUCGAAGAUACCAGCUGGCUGCAACUGUUUAUUAAAAACACAGCACUGUGCAAACACGAAAGUGGACGUAUACGGUGUGACGCCUGCCCGGUGCCGGAAGGUUAAUUGAUGGGGUCAGCGCAAGCGAAGCUCCUGAUCGAAGCCCCGGUAAACGGCGGCCGUAACUAUAACGGUCCUAAGGUAGCGAAAUUCCUUGUCGGGUAAGUUCCGACCUGCACGAAUGGCGUAAUGAUGGCCAGGCUGUCUCCACCCGAGACUCAGUGAAAUUGAACUCGCUGUGAAGAUGCAGUGUACCCGCGGCAAGACGGAAAGACCCCGUGAACCUUUACUAUAGCUUGACACUGAACAUUGAGCCUUGAUGUGUAGGAUAGGUGGGAGGCUUUGAAGUGUGGACGCCAGUCUGCAUGGAGCCGGCCUUGAAAUACCACCCUUUAAUGUUUGAUGUUCUAACGUGGACCCGUGAUCCGGGUUGCGGACAGUGUCUGGUGGGUAGUUUGACUGGGGCGGUCUCCUCCUAAAGAGUAACGGAGGAGCACGAAGGUUGGCUAAUCCUGGUCGGACAUCAGGAGGUUAGUGCAAUGGCAUAAGCCAGCUUGACUGCGAGCGUGACGGCGCGAGCAGGUGCGAAAGCAGGUCAUAGUGAUCCGGUGGUUCUGAAUGGAAGGGCCAUCGCUCAACGGAUAAAAGGUACUCCGGGGAUAACAGGCUGAUACCGCCCAAGAGUUCAUAUCGACGGCGGUGUUUGGCACCUCGAUGUCGGCUCAUCACAUCCUGGGGCUGAAGUAGGUCCCAAGGGUAUGGCUGUUCGCCAUUUAAAGUGGUACGCGAGCUGGGUUUAGAACGUCGUGAGACAGUUCGGUCCCUAUCUGCCGUGGGCGCUGGAGAACUGAGGGGGGCUGCUCCUAGUACGAGAGGACCGGAGUGGACGCAUCACUGGUGUUCGGGUUGUCAUGCCAAUGGCACUGCCCGGUAGCUAAAUGCGGAAGAGAUAAGUGCUGAAAGCAUCUAAGCACGAAACUUGCCCCGAGAUGAGUUCUCCCUGAGACUUUAGGUCUCCUGAAGGAACGUUGAAGACGACGACGUUGAUAGGCCGGGUGUGUAAGCGCAGCGAUGCGUUGAGCUAACCGGUACUAAUGAACCGUGAGGCUUAACCUU